rnacentral:rRNA from 1 species
UACGGAGGGUGCAAGCGUUAUCCGGAUUCACUGGGUUUAAAGGGUGCGUAGGUGGCGAGUUAAGUCAGUGGUGAAAUCUCCGGGCUUAACCCGGAAACUGCCAUUGAUACUAUCUUUCUUGAAUAUCGUGGAGGUGAGCGGAAUAUGUCAUGUAGCGGUGAAAUGCUUAGAUAUGACAUAGAACACCAAUUGCGAAGGCAGCUCACUACACGAAUAUUGACACUGAGGCACGAAAGCGUGGGGAGCAAACAGG